UGGGCAGGUAUCCAAGUGGCUAAAGGAACCGGUCUGUAAAACCGUUCGCCGAGCGGCGUUCGUGGGUUCGACCCCCACCCUGCCCAU
rnacentral:tRNA from 1 species